GACGGGUGAGUAACGCGUGGGUAACCUACCUUGUACAGGGGGAUAACAGUCGGAAACGAUUGCUAAUACCGCAUAAAGCUAUUUUAAGGCAUCUUAGAAUAGCCAAAGAUUUAUUGGUACAAGAUGGGCCCGCGUCUGAUUAGCUGGUUGGUGGGGUAAAGGCCUACCAAGGCGACGAUCAGUAGCCGACCCUGAGAGGGGUGACCGGCCACCACUGGAACUGAGACACGGUCCAGACUCCUACGGGAGGCAGCAGUGGGGGAUAUUGCACAAUGGGGGAAACCCCUGAUGCAGCGACGCCGCGUGAGCGAAGAAGGCCUUCGGGUCGUAAAGCUCUGUUUCGAGGGAAGAAAAAUGACGGUACCUCGGGAGGAAGCCCCGGCUAACUACGUGCCAGCAGCCGCGGUAAUACGUAGGGGGCAAGCGUUAUCCGGAAUCACUGGGCGUAAAGGGUGCGUAGGCGGCCAAUAAAGUCUAGGGUGAAAGGCUACGGCUCAACCGUAGUAAGCCUUGGAAACUUAUUGGCUUGAGUGCAGGAGAGGAGAGUGGAAUUCCUAGUGUAGCGGUGAAAUGCGUAGAUAUUAGGAGGAACACCAAGUGGCGAAGGCGACUCUUUGGACUGUAACUGACGCUGAGGCACGAAAGCGUGGGGAGCGAACAGGAUUAGAUACCCUGGUAGUCCACGCCGUAAACGAUGAGUGCUAGGUGUUGGGGUCAAACCUCAGUGCCGCAGCUAACGCAUUAAGCACUCCGCCUGGGGAGUACGCACGCCAAGUGUGAAACUCAAAGGAAUUGACCGGGGACCCGCACAAGCAGCGGAGCAUGUGGUUUAAUUCGAAGCAACGCGAAGAACCUUACCUGGACUUGACAUCCUUAUGACCGCUUUUUAACAGAAGCUUUCCCUUCGGGGACAGAAGUGACAGGUGGUGCAUGGUUGUCGUCAGACUCGUGUCGUGAGAUGUUGGGUUAAGUCCCGCAACGAGCGCAACCCUUGUCUUUAGUUGCCAGCAUUUCGGAUGGGCACUCUAGAGAGACUGCCGGGGACAACUCGGAGGAAGGUGGGGAUGACGUCAAAUCAUCAUGCCCCUUAUGUUCAGGGCUACACACGUGCUACAAUGGCCGAUACAAAGGGCAGCGAAGGAGUAGUCUGGAGCGAAUCUCAUAAAGUCGGUCUCAGUUCGGAUUGUGGGCUGAAACUCGCCCACCUCAACUUGGAGUUGCUAGUAAUCGCGAAUCAGAAUGUCGCGGUGAAUGCGUUCCCGGGUCUUGUACACACCGCCCAUCACACGAUGGGAGUCGGAAGCGCCCGA
rnacentral:rRNA from 1 species